GGCAGCAUAGCCAAGUGAUAAGGCAGGGGUCUGCAACACCUUUAUCCCCGGUUCACAUCCGGGUAUUGCCU
rnacentral:tRNA from 1 species